rnacentral:lncRNA from 1 species
AAAAAAUAUUCUUCCACACAAAAGCCAGAAAGUCAGAGAAUUUCAGGGUCAAACUGUCAAAGACAUACCUAAGCAAACAGAAGACUCUCCAAAGAUUAAAAUUCAUAUCAAUCUUUGCCCUAUUCUGGCUGCUGCCAAGACCAGAGAGGCAGAAGAUAGCGAUUGUUGUGAACCAGAUGGCACUGUGGAGGUCGGUGCACACUGUGAUGGUAGAGAUAUGAUUCAAAAGCAGCAAGUGGCAACAACCAAAGAGCAACAGGCAGCAGCCCAGCAAGAGAUACUCAACCAAGGUCUCAAAUCAGAUGUCUCAAAGGCAACCUGGUUGGUUAAACGUACGUCAUUACCAGCCAUCAGUAAACCAUACCAGAAGUGCUCAUCAUACUCAGUCCACAUGAGACAGACAGCAUCACCUUGUCCUUUGCCUCUAAUUAACAUUUCAAAUCAAAGUGUUCUGCCCAGCCCUUCCAGCGUGAUCAAAACCCAUGGAAUUAUAAGACCAUUUCCAAAGUUGCUCCAGCAGCACAACAGAUCUCAGACAAACUGUGAAAUGACCUUCAAAAGGUUGUCUCAGCUUCAGCUCCCUGAUGCACAAAUCCCCAGUGCUGAUGUCCUGCUGGAGAAAGUGAAAGAGAGCGCGAGGAAGUGGGAGAAGGAGAAGGUGGUACUUGCACGUGUCGAUCAUCUCUCUCUGGCAGGGGCUUUGCAGUCCCUCAGGGAAGGAUUGUUAGAGCUGCAGGACCCCGCCAACCCUUUUGUCAGGAAAAUGGUCAGAUGCCCCAGGACUGAGCCAAGCAGAUUCCAGGAGAUGAAUGUUUCUAUGAAAGAAAGUGCCCUGAAAAACAACCACAGACUUGCAGUUGAGGGGAAGCAGCCUGUAACCCUC